rnacentral:lncRNA from 1 species
ACCACGAUAUGAAAUCUGCAAUAAUUUUGGUUCUGUCAACUUUUUUCCCCGGCCUACAAUCAUUUUCGUUUCCCCUCACACCACCCCUAGCUCUAUAAAUGGCCAUUGAUUUGCCGAGAAAUGCCCAGGACUUCUUCAGAACAUAUCAGCAGCAGUUAGCAUUUGGUUCAACCUCUCCCAUGGCUGAAGAGCAAACCAAGACCACCAACCUUGCCAACCAAGAGACCAGUGAGGUGAAGAACGAAGUGGAGGAGGUUGCUGCUCCAACAAAAACUCAGGAAGAAGAAGAGAAGAGUUCCACUGGCGAGGAACAGGAGGCUGCAGAAGCAAAGGCUACCUCCAAGCAGACAUUUCAGGCGACCAGUGUGUCUGUGUAAUCUAGCCUAGCAGCUAAGCCUGCCACUUUCUUAUGAUGCACCAAGUGAUAUAUAUAUAUAUAUAUGAUAAUGUGUGUGGAAUAAGUUGAGCUGCUUUAAGGUGGUCUUGUUCUGUGUCUGUGAGAAAGGUCUAUCUAAGGUGAUCUGUGGUGAGUCCAGAUGGAGGUGUGCUUGUCUUCUUGACUCGAGUGUGCUUUUUAUGUAUGAAGUAUAUCUAAUUUUGUUUUUGUGACUACGUGAGUAUAAAUUCAUCUUGGGUUGUCUCUAGGUUCCUUUUUCUUUCUUAAUUUAUCCUCCCCUUUGUGACUUAAAAAAGUGAGAGACAGAGUCGCUGUUACACGACUCGCAGUGAUAUUAUUCUGGUGGUUUGGCUUGGUUCCUAAAGUUUUAGGCAAAAUAGUAAAACUCUCUCGCUGAUCAGG